GACGAACGCUGGCGGCGUGCCUAAUACAUGCAAGUCGAACGAGUGGCGGACGGGUGAGUAACACGUGGGUACCUCCCCACAGAGGGGGAUAACUACUGGAAACGGUGGCUAAUACCGCAUACUCUCGGAUAACCCAUAAGGGGUGAGCUAGUAGGUAAGGUAAUUGCUUACCUAGGCUACGAUCCCUAGCUGGUCUGAGAGGAUGAUCAGCCACACGGGGAUUGAGACACGGCCCAGACUCCGACGGAGGCAGCAGUGGGGAAUAUUGCACAAUGGGCGCAAGCCUGAUGCAGCCAUGCCGCGUGUAUGAAGAAGGCCCUAGGGUUGUAAAGUACUUUCAGUCGGGAGGCGUUACCGACAGAAGAAGCACCGGCUAACUCCGUGCCAGCAGCCGCGGUAAUAC
rnacentral:rRNA from 1 species